rnacentral:vault_RNA from 1 species
GCGGAGGUUUAGCUCAGUGGUUACUUCUCAUACUUAACAAUGAUCCACUCCAUGAGUCCACGGGCUCCGGGGUUCAAACCACGGGCGCUGUCCUCUGCUUUU